rnacentral:rRNA from 1 species
GUAAUUGAAGAACUUCUCGAUGAGUUGCAUGGAGCAGAUUGGUUCUCUAAGUUGGAUUUGCGAGCAGGCUACCAUCAGAUCAGAUUAGCCCCUGGGGAGGAACAUAAGACAACUUUUUCAACGCAUCAGGGGCACUUUGAGUUCAAGGUCCUAUCCUUUGGUCUAGCUGGAGCCCCUCCCACCUUCAUUGAAGGGCUAACAACAACUCUCAAGACAGUGAUGCGCGUUUGCGUUCUCUGUUUCUUCGACGACAUCUUGAUUUUCAGUGCUUCAUUGGAGGACCACAAAAACCAUGUAAAGCAAGUACUGGAACUUCUCCGAAGGGACAACUGGAAAGUGAAACGCAGCAAGUGUGCUUUCGGGCAA